rnacentral:rRNA from 1 species
UACGUAGGGGGCAAGCGUUAUCCGGAUUUACUGGGUGUAAAGGGAGCGUAGACGGCCAGACAAGUCAGAAGUGAAAGACCGGGGCUUAACCCCGGGACUGCUUUGGAAACUGUUAAGCUAGAGUGCUGGAGAGGUAAGUGGAAUUCCUAGUGUAGCGGUGAAAUGCGUAGAUAUUAGGAGGAACACCAGUGGCGAAGGCGGCUUACUGGACUGUAAAUGACGCUGAGGCUCGAAAGCGUGGGGAGCAAACAGG